rnacentral:lncRNA from 1 species
GUGGCUACUUAAUCUUAUUUUUGUUAUACAUUUUUUGUAAACAUUUGGAAUUGGUUUGCAUAAAUAAAAUUGCAGACAAAAAUUAUCUAACAUAUAUUUAUAAUUAGAACAUUUUGGAGACAUAUGUAACUGAGCAUCAAGUUCUUGUUUUAGACAAUCGUAUAAACGUUGCUUUAUGACAGCAAAAUAUACAUCAGGCAAGUCACAAAUAAGGUUUUGGCUAUACCAUACAUCACCUAAACCAAUAAGAAAAAGUUCGUUCUUUAUAAAAUACAACCAGUUACACUUAUUAUUUGGACAUCUCUCUAAUUCACAAUACAAGUAGUUAUAACAAUUUUUCAAUAUACAGUUUGAAGUAUUUAGCAAUUUAAACCAAUAUUUGAAAAUCUUACAUUUUCUUGCGAAAAUAAGAGGCAAUCUACCUAGUUCUUGAUAUAUCAUAACAUUGUUAGUAGACAACUUAACACCAAGUAUAUUUUUACAAUAGUUCAUGUGGACUCUCUCUAUUGCCGGGGCUUUAUGUGCACCCCAUAUUUCGCUUGCAUAACUCAAUAAAGAAUUUAUAUAAGUAUCAAACAGUGAUAACAAAGUGACAUAGUUUAAACACAUACUUUUCACAUUUCUUCUUAAAGCAAACAUUGCUUUUCUACCUUGUUCUGACAAUUUCUGUUGUAACAUAUUAUAUUUGCCAUUAAAAUUUAAAAGUACACCAAGGUAAGUAAAAUUAUCAACAACUUCAAUUUCCUUAUUAUCAUAAUACCAUUUCUCAUCAACAUGAACUCUUCCACCUUUCCUAAAUACAACAAUUUUAGUUUUAUCAAUAUUAACACUCAAUGACCAUUUUGAUGUAUACUCAUAUAAUGUAUCAAGCAUAUUUUGUAACCCCAAAACAGAUUCUGAGAAAAUAACCAUAUCAUCAGCAUACAUAAGUAAAAAUAAAUUCAAUUCUUUCAUCUCAUAUGGUAUGGCAUUACUAUUAAUGAAAGCCAUUUCACAAUCGUUAACAUAUAAUGAAAAAAGUAUGGGAGAUAACACCUCUCCCUGCAUCAAGCCC